CGGCGUCGAGCGGCGGACGGGUGAGUAAUGCCUAGGAAAUUGCCCUGAUGUGGGGGAUAACCAUUGGAAACGAUGGCUAAUACCGCAUGAUGCCUACGGGCCAAAGAGGGGGACCUUCGGGCCUCUCGCGUCAGGAUAUGCCUAGGUGGGAUUAGCUAGUUGGUGAGGUAAGGGCUCACCAAGGCGACGAUCCCUAGCUGGUCUGAGAGGAUGAUCAGCCACACUGGAACUGAGACACGGUCCAGACUCCUACGGGAGGCAGCAGUGGGGAAUAUUGCACAAUGGGCGCAAGCCUGAUGCAGCCAUGCCGCGUGUGUGAAGAAGGCCUUCGGGUUGUAAAGCACUUUCAGUCGUGAGGAAGGUAGUGUAGUUAAUAGCUGCAUUAUUUGACGUUAGCGACAGAAGAAGCACCGGCUAACUCCGUGCCAGCAGCCGCGGUAAUACGGAGGGUGCGAGCGUUAAUCGGAAUUACUGGGCGUAAAGCGCAUGCAGGUGGUUU
rnacentral:rRNA from 1 species